GACGAACGCUGGCGGCGUGCCUAAUACAUGCAAGUCGAGCGAGACUCUUCGGAGUCUAGCGGCGGACGGGUGAGUAACACGUGGGCAACCUGCCUGUAAGACUGGGAUAACACCGGGAAACCGGUGCUAAUACCGGAUAAUCCUUUUCCUCCCAUGAGGAAAAGUUGAAAGUCGGUUUCGGCUGACACUUACAGAUGGGCCCGCGGCGCAUUAGCUAGUUGGUGAGGUAACGGCUCACCAAAGCGACGAUGCGUAGCCGACCUGAGAGGGUGAUCGGCCACACUGGGACUGAGACACGGCCCAGACUCCUACGGGGGGCAGCAGUAGGGAAUCUUCCACAAUGGACGAAAGUCUGAUGGAGCAACGCCGCGUGAGCGAUGAAGGCCUUCGGGUCGUAAAGCUCUGUUGUUAGGGAAGAACAAGUACCGGAGUAACUGCCGGUAUCUUGACGGUACCUAACCAGAAAGCCACGGCUAACUACGUGCCAGCCGCCGCAGUAACAC
rnacentral:rRNA from 1 species